GUAGGUGAACCUGCGGAAGGAUCAUUAUCGAGUUUUUUGAACGGGUUGUAGCUGGCCUCUCUCACGAGGCAUGUGCACGCUCGGCUCAUCCACUCUCUUACCUCUGUGCACCAUUUGUAAGAAAAAAGGUUACAGACCGCCAGCCGGUUGAAGACCUGCUUUCUUAUGUUUUAUUACAAACGCUUCAGUAUCAGAAUGUGAUUUUAUCAUGCGUAACGCAUUAUAAUACAACUUUCAGCAACGGAUCUCUUGGCUCUC
rnacentral:misc_RNA from 1 species